rnacentral:rRNA from 1 species
UACGGGGGGAGCAAGCGUUGUUCGGAUUUACUGGGCGUAAAGGGCGCGUAGGCGGCCACCGCAAGUCAGUUGUGAAAUCUCUGGGCUUAACCCAGAAAGGUCAACUGAUACUGCGGGGCUAGAGUGCAGAAGGGGCAACUGGAAUUUACGGUGUAGUGGUGAAAUGCGUAGAUAUCGUAAGGAAGACCAGUGGCGAAGGCGGGUCUCUGGACAGUUCCUGACGCUGAGGCACGAAGGCCAGGGGAGCAAACGGG